rnacentral:rRNA from 1 species
UGCGUAGGCGGUGCAGCAAGUCGGGUGUGAAAUCCCUCAGCUCAACUGAGGAAUUGCGCCCGAAACUGCUGUGCUUGAGGAAUACAGAGGUAUGCGGAACUUAGGGUGGAGCGGUGAAAUGCGUUGAUAUCCUAAGGAACACCGGUGGCGAAAGCGGCAUACUGGGUAUUUUCUGACGCUCAUGCACAAAGCUAGGGUAGCAACG